GUUCAAGGAAACACAGCAAGUUUGUGGUAGAAUCAAGUCCAGAUUCCAGGACCCAAAGGUCUUUGUAGCAGCCUUUGCAGCAGCCUGGAGCUACUGAAAACAGAAGACUGGUCCAGGUGAGGUCUCCAGCUCUAAGGGCUCGGAUUCACGGCAGAGAUCCACGGUUCCUGGCUCCUCUCUCUAGCCCUUAGUCCUCUCUAUUACUGCAAGGAUUUGGCUUCAAGGAAAAGAAAUACAAGUCCUUCCGCCUUGGCAAAGAUGAUAGUACCGUUCCCUUCAGUGUUCCGGUUCUGCUCUAUUGGAUAAGUUCCGGUUUGACUAUGACUACGUGAAAAUGUGGAACCAGACCUUCACCCCACAUUCCAGCUCCAGCUCUACCACAGAGGAAGUGCAAUAUCACCUUAGUUAUUCAACACAUUAUGCUCCUCGUGAUACAACCAGAGUUCACAUCAGCAAUCUUGGCAGCUCUCACCACGCUGCUGACUCACGACUCUCUCAUGUCCCAAUUUCCUGUCCAUUGUUCUUUCCUCUACUUGGCCUGAUUUCUAAAGGCCUCUCUUGGUUGCAUUAAGCGGGAUUCCUGAGGGAUUCCCUUGGCAGUUACCUUGGGGGAGCGCUUAGGUUUGGGGCUGAUCCAUGUCCUCUAAAUGUAGGACUUCAAAGCUCCCAAAGAUAGGCAGACCCAGUGGGAAGCUGGGAAAUGCUCUCUGACCCCUCUGGGAGAGCUGGCAGUCAGAGGGCCUUUUGGAAAGAGUCAGACCUGAUCCAUAAGUCCCUGGAAAACACCCUGCCCAGGGAGCAAAUGCCACUGUGGCCUUGACUGAGGCUUCAGAAGAGUUUGGGAGCUGCAAUUCAUCCACACACGCAUUCAUUUUCAAGUAGUGGUUUGCAUUUCAGGCUUUGGAGCCACAUAAGCCUGGCUUCAAAGCCACUCUCCAGCUUUGUAGGAAGUCUCUACAUUUUUAAACCUCCAUUUUUUUUUCCUGUAAAACUGGGGUCUUCAUGGUACUUAACUUCAUCGUGAUGUUGAGAGAAUGAAAAGAAAAAGGAUAAAUAAAUGGCUUAGCCUCGUGCCUUGGCACAUAUU
rnacentral:lncRNA from 1 species